rnacentral:rRNA from 1 species
AUUGAACGCUGGCGGCAUGCUUUACACAUGCAAGUCGAACGGCAGCGCGGGCUUCGGCCUGGCGGCGAGUGGCGAACGGGUGAGUAAUGCAUCGGAACGUGCCCAGUAGUGGGGGAUAGCCCGGCGAAAGCCGGAUUAAUACCGCAUACGACCUGAGGGUGAAAGCGGGGGACCGAAAGGCCUCGCGCUAUUGGAGCGGCCGAUGUCGGAUUAGCUAGUUGGUGGGGUAAAGGCUUACCAAGGCGACGAUCCGUAGCUGGUCUGAGAGGACGACCAGCCACACUGGGACUGAGACACGGCCCAGACUCCUACGGGAGGCAGCAGUGGGGAAUUUUGGACAAUGGGGGCAACCCUGAUCCAGCCAUGCCGCGUGCGGGAAGAAGGCCUUCGGGUUUUAAACCGCUUUUGCUCGGGAAGAAAUCCUCUGGGCUAAUACCCCGGGGGGAUGACGGUACCGGAAGAAUAAGCACCGGCUAACUACGUG